GGACCAGCCAAGCUUAGGGGAUACGGCUGCUCAUGGGAGAAAAAAAAAUUGUUUCACAAAUUAAUAAUAGGAUUCUAAAAGCAAAUGAGACCAUGCUAGGGGAAUAUAAUCCAUAUUAAGAUUGGUAAUCUGGAUGCCAGAUGAUCAGUAAUUUUAGUUGUAGAGUAACGCUCGGAGAGAAGUCACAAAGAUGCAAACCCCUGGAGCAU
rnacentral:lncRNA from 1 species